rnacentral:rRNA from 1 species
GACGAACGCUGGCGGCGUGCUUAACACAUGCAAGUCGUACGGUAAGGCUCCAGCUUGCUGGGGUACACGAGUGGCGAACGGGUGAGUAACACGUGGGUGACCUGCCCUGCACUUCGGGAUAAGCCUGGGAAACUGGGUCUAAUACCGGAUAGGACCAUGGUGUGGAUACUGUGGUGGAAAGUUUUUUCGGUGUGGGAUGGGCCCGCGGCCUAUCAGCUUGUUGGUGGGGUAAUGGCCUACCAAGGCGGCGACGGGUAGCCGGCCUGAGAGGGUGGACGGCCACAUUGGGACUGAGACACGGCCCAGACUCCUACGGGAGGCAGCAGUGGGGAAUAUUGCACAAUGGGCGGAAGCCUGAUGCAGCGACGCCGCGUGGGGGAUGACGGCCUUCGGGUUGUAAACUCCUUUCACCAUCGACGAAGGGUUUCUGACGGUAGAUGGAGAAGAAGCACCGGCUAACUACGUG